UACAGAGGGGGCAAGCGUUGUUCGGAAUUACUGGGCGUAAAGGGCGCGUAGGCGGCCUUCUAAGUCGAACGUGAAAUCCCCGGGCUCAACCCGGGAACUGCGUCCGAUACUGGAAGGCUUGAAUCCGGGAGAGGGAUGCGGAAUUCCAGGUGUAGCGGUGAAAUGCGUAGAUAUCUGGAGGAAUACCGGUGGCGAAGGCGG
rnacentral:rRNA from 1 species